GACCUCCUGGUGCUUACCGAAGGCUGUGUUCUUACACUGACUAUAUAGAAAGAAGAGGCAGAGUAAACCUAUCCUAGGUACACCCCAGCCCAGCUUGGGGAAACAGAG
ensembl:snoRNA